UACGAAGGGUGCAAGCGUUACUCGGAAUUACUGGGCGUAAAGCGUGCGCAGGCGGCUAUGCAAGACAGAUGUGAAAUCCCCGGGCUCAACCUGGGAACUGCAUUUGUGACUGCAUGGCUAGAGUACGGUAGAGGGGGAUGGAAUUCCGCGUGUAGCAGUGAAAUGCGUAGAUAUGCGGAGGAACACCGAUGGCGAAGGCAAUCCCCUGGACCUGUACUGACGCUCAUGCACGAAAGCGUGGGGAGCAAACAGG
rnacentral:rRNA from 1 species